UCUCCCCGUGGACGUAGAUUUACCUCAGUAAAUCGAACCACGUAAAAUUUCCGUGUCGUAAUUUAUUUUUACGAGCAUUCAUCAUCAUCAAUAAUUCGCGGAUUCAUCAAUGCGCUUUGCACAAAAACAGCGGUGGUGGUAAUCAAUCGAUUUCCUACUCGCCGAACCGGUUGAACAUGAGGCGAUCUGCGAUGACGAAUUCUCUGGUGCGGAUCGGCACCGUGGAGGGAGAUCUGGUGAAGCGAGCCCUCGCGACUUUGAUUCGCCCGUCCUCCCACCAGCAGCGUCGCCGAGCCGAUUUCCGGCCGCGGCAGAGCCGGCUCUCGGUCAUGUCCAGCGCCGACGACAUCUGAAGGAGCAAGCCGAAUAUGCAGGUUUGGUUAUACUCGAAAAUCACCAGUCGCUUACGAUCCGCAGCGGCGACACCUGAGCAAUUUUUGGAACAGGGAAGCUGAUGUUUGUGUUGGUUGUACAUAUGAUUUCCAAAUGAAGAACGUAUUGGAUUUGAAACUAGAGCACUCUCGAUCUAAUUAAAAUGAAUCCAAUCGAAUUUCACAUAGCAAUGAGGAUGAAACUAUAAUUUGAAUCUAAAUCCAAGGAUCAAGAUGAUUGCGUGAUGAUUUAGUGUUUGGUGCUGGUUGAAAAUAUCACCAAUUCCGUUACGUGUAUCGUAUCGUUAUCCGUUGAAUCCGUUCGUCCGUUCCGUCGCUGUUCGUAUGAGGUAAGUUCCGUUCGGUCGUGUCAAUUUUACGUUCCGUCCGUCGGCUCGUAUGAGAUCUGAGGAGCAUUGCGUGCAAGUAUGGGGGAGUGAUUAUCGUGAAACUCGAAGGUCGAGGCCAUGGCUGAUCUUGAGACUAUUUUUUUCACCUCGGCUUUGGAAGAUGGAAAUUACUAAAAAUAGAUUUCUGCUGAUUUUACGGAAGUUGAUACCGGUGAUUGGACCAUAUAUUCCGAAAGUUACUGCGGGGACCAUAGUAAAAUCUAACAGAAAAUAUUCUCGAAUUAAAUAAAAAUAAAAAUAAAAAUAAAAAU